rnacentral:sRNA from 1 species
UGUGUCGACGGACCGGCACAGCCUUCACGGAUGAAGGUCAUGGACAUCGCAAGAUGCGAUUCAUCAGGAUGAUGUUUAGGACAAGCAGGGACUACGGAAAAAAUGUGGGCGGGUCAAACCGCCCCUUUUUUU